GUAAUCCUGCCACCGGGUAGGGAAUGGAAGCAUUCGUUGCGCAUCGUUAGGUCUUUGAAGAUGCGUGUACGGGUGCUUGUUUUAUU
rnacentral:ncRNA from 1 species